rnacentral:rRNA from 1 species
GACGAACGCUGGCGGCGUGCUUAACACAUGCAAGUCGAACGGAAAGGCCCUGCUUUUGUGGGGUGCUCGAGUGGCGAACGGGUGAGUAACACGUGAGUAACCUGCCCUUGACUUUGGGAUAACUUCAGGAAACUGGGGCUAAUACCGGAUAGGAGCUCCUGCUGCAUGGUGGGGGUUGGAAAGUUUCGGCGGUUGGGGAUGGACUCGCGGCUUAUCAGCUUGUUGGUGGGGUAGUGGCUUACCAAGGCUUUGACGGGUAGCCGGCCUGAGAGGGUGACCGGAGAACGUGGGGUGGGGCAGGCGCACAGCAUCGGGAGGGGUAGACGGGGGGGGAAGAUGCAGCGGUGGGAGGGAGCCAGACGGAGCAGCGGGCGGUGCUGGACCGGGGCGUUGGGGUUGCAAACCGCUUACGCCUGUAGCGAAGUGUGAGGGAAUGGGAUGGGAAAAGAAGCACCGGAAACCUACGGGCAGGCAGCGGCGGUAAUACGCGGGGCACACGUCUGAUC